rnacentral:lncRNA from 1 species
CUACCCGCCUGUCCGUCAGUACACAUAUGAGCGCUGUGAUCGCAGAAACUAUAAAAACUUGAAAGUUGAGAUUAGGGACGUAGAUUGGUGAUUCUGGGGAUGUUGACGCAGCGCAGCAUUAGCUGAGCAAUGUAUUUUUGAUUUUCGGCUAUAGAGUCUGCUCUUGCCUCUACUGUGGAUGGAAAUGCGACUUUGCUGUAAUCGACCGGUCAUACCACCUGAUACCACCACCACCAAAUCAAAACUAUCACAAAUACUAAACGGUUACCAUGUAUUAAAGAAAUACAAACGCUUAGAAAGAGAAGCGAGGAAAGUGUAAUAAUUAAAAAUGU